rnacentral:rRNA from 1 species
AUACGUAGGGUGCAAGCGUUAAUCGGAAUUACUGGGCGUAAAGCGUGCGCAGGCGGUUUUGUAAGACAGUGGUGAAAUCCCCGGGCUCAACCUGGGAACUGCCAUUUUGACUGCAAGGCUGGAGUGCGGCAGAGGGGGAUGGGAUUCCGCGUGUAGCAGUGAAAUGCGUAGAUAUGCGGAGGAACACCGAUGGCGAAGGCAAUCCCCUGGGCCUGCACUGACGCUCAUGCACGAAAGCGUGGGGAGCAAACAGGAUUAGAUACCCUGGUAGUCCACGCCCUAAACGAUGUCAACUGGUUGUUGGGGAUUUAUUUUCUCAGUAACGAAGCUAACGCGUGAAGUUGACCGUCUGGGGAGUACGGCCGCAAGGUUAAAACUCAAAUGAAUUGACGGGG